UCCUAGUUAACCUAGGCAGUCCCACUAGAGUUCCCACCAUGACGUGUUGGCAACUAGUGGCAAGGGUUGCGCUCGUUGCGGGACUUAACCCAACACCUCACGGCACGAGCUGACGACAGCCAUGCAGCACCUGUAUAACAGCCCUUGCGGGAGAGUGUGUUUCCACACUUGUCUGCUACAUGUCAAGUCUAGGUAAGGUUCUUCGCGUAGCAUCGAAUUAAACCACAUGCUCCACUGCUUGUGCGAGCCCCCGUCAAUUCUUUUGAGUUUCACCCUUGCGGGCGUACUUCCCAGGCGGUGUACUUAUCGCGUUAGCUACGAUACAAACUGGGUUGAGCCAAUUUACAUCAAGUACACAUCGUUUACGGCGUGGACUAC
rnacentral:misc_RNA from 1 species